ACUGGACUGUCUUCAAGUUGAUUGAUAUUUUCUCCUGCUAUAUGAAAUCUUCUUUUGAGCUCAUUCGGUGUCUUAUCAUCGUCCAUACAUUCAGAAUGACAACUCUGUCCACCUCACACUGAAGUUGUGAAGAUUAAAUCAGGCAAUGGACUGGUGUUGGCUCAGAACCCUUCUUUUGCCAGCACAGUGUGAACAAAGCCAUCUCACUGGGACUGAUUCCCAGUCACUAAGCUCAUAAUGCUAAUAAAAAAAUUCUAAUAUAAAGAGGUCAAUAUGGAUGGGCACUUGCCCACGCAGACAGACAUAGAACGGAAGCCAGGUCAAAACCAGCAAUCUGUUUGAUGCAUGAGGUUAUCACAACAGUAAAAUUAACAUAUAGUGGAUAACUGGAAGGUAUGAAGGGUGCUUGCUAACCUGUGACCAAGAAAGUAGACAGGCCAGCUGAAUAUGAUUUUUACUUAUUUAUUCAAUAAUUAACUAAAGUAUUAUCACUUCUUCAUUUGUUUGUUGGCAUUUAUUCACUUGUAUAAAUAAGUCAUGGGGCAUUUCUUUAAUGAGCUCACAAGCUAGGAAGCAUGAAUAAUCUAUUCAAUGAUGAAUGCUCCAUCAUAGGUUGGAUAAUAGGUAUAUGUUUUUACAAGGUAGGAGAGAGGCACAAAGAAGAAAUUACUAA